GACGCUGGCGGCGCGUUUUAAGCAUGCAAGUCGAGCGGCAAGGGCCUUCCGGGCCCCUAGAGCGGCGGACGGGUGAGUAACACGUGGACAAUCUCGCCCCCCGGCCCGGGAUAGCCCGAGGGAAACCUGGAUUAAUACCGGAUGAGACGGGACCCGCGAUGGCGGGACCCGGGAAAGGCACUGCGGCGCCGCCGGGGGAUGAGUCUGCGUCCCAUUAGCUAGACGGCGGGGUAACGGCCCACCGUGGCGACGAUGGGUAGCCGGCCUGAGAGGGUGGACGGCCACAUUGGAACUGAGACACGGUCCAGACUCCUACGGGAGGCAGCAGCUAAGAAUCUUCCGCAAUGGGCGAAAGCCUGACGGAGCCGACGCCGCGUGAACGAAGAAGGCCGUGAGGUUGUAAAGUUCUUUUCGGGAGGGGGAACAACCGUGGCAGGGAAUGGCCGCGGGAUGACGUGAAUCCCGGAAUAAGCCCCGGCUAACUACGUGCCAGCCGCUGC
rnacentral:rRNA from 1 species